AAUAGAUACCCAGGUAGUCCACCCCGUAAACGUUGGGAACUAGUUGUGGGGACCAUUCCACGGUUUCCGUGACGCAGCUAACGCAUUAAAUUCCCCGCCUGGGGAGUACGGCCGCAAGGCUAAAAACUCAAAGGAAUUGACGGGGACCCGCACAAGCGGCGGAGCAUGCGGAUUAAUUCGAUGCAACGCGAAGAACCUUACCAAGGCUUGACAUAUACGAGAACGGGCCAGAAAUGGUCAACUCUUUGGACACUCGUAAACAGGUGGUGCAUGGUUGUCGUCAGCUCGUGUCGUGAGAUGUUGGGUUAAGUCCCGCAACGAGCGCAACCCUCGUUCUAUGUUGCCAGCACGUAAUGGUGGGAACUCAUGGGAUACUGCCGGGGUCAACUCGGAGGAAGGUGGGGAUGACGUCAAAUCAUCAUGCCCCUUAUGUCUUGGGCUUCACGCAUGCUACAAUGGCCGGUACAAAGGGCUGCAAUCCGUAAGGUGGAGCGAAUCCCAAAAAGCCGGUCCAGUUCGGAUUGAGGUCUGCAACUCGACCUCA
rnacentral:rRNA from 1 species